UGGCGGACGGGUGAGUAAUGUCUGGGAAACUGCCUGAUGGAGGGGGAUAACUACUGGAAACGGUAGCUAAUACCGCAUAACGUCGCAAGGCCAAAGAGGGGGACCUUCGGGCCUCUUGCCAUCGGAUGUGCCCAGAUGGGAUUAGCUAGUAGGUGGGGUAACGGCUCACCUAGGCGACGAUCCCUAGCUGGUCUGAGAGGAUGACCAGCCACACUGGAACUGAGACACGGUCCAG
rnacentral:rRNA from 1 species